GGCAGUACAGCUCAGUGGUAGAGUGCGUGCCUAGCAUGGGCAAGGUCCUGGGUUCAAUCCCCAGUACCUCCA
rnacentral:tRNA from 1 species